rnacentral:tRNA from 1 species
UCCCAGAUAGUGUAAUGGUAGCAUGGCAGGUUUUGGCCCUGUCGGACUAGGUUCGAGUCCUAGUCUGGGAG